rnacentral:lncRNA from 1 species
AUUUACAGUAGCUGGCCAGCCAGCCAGUUUGAUUUAUCUAACGCUAGCUAGCUACUGUUAUUGUAGCUUGCACUUCAAUGGCAUCCCUGAGAUUUUUCUCUUAUCUUUCCAAACAGGCGAAGUACUAUGAAGAAACCACUGAUCUCGACAACCAUUCAGGGUUUGGUGACUGGACCAACCAAACCCUCAAGACUGCCAUGGGCAAGUCCCUUGAUUGGUACCAGGAAGGGUGGGAGAACAACCUGAAGGUCAUUUUCUCUUUGCACACAGCAGCAUCCAGGCCUCCACCGAUUGCGAAUGCGAGCCGCAGCUGUUGACUGAGGUAUACAAUGCAAUUGGAUAUACAAUUAUUGCAUAUACUGUAGUCUUUCAAAUUUGUGAUUGACUUAGUUUGUCUAUUGCUAUGUUUGUAUAACGUACUUUCAGAUCACUGAAACUCCACCUGAUGUGGUGGAAGUUGUCAAACCAGAUCAAACCGCCUUCAAAGACCACCUUCAGGCGUAGACUGAGAAGGAUGUGGAGGUUUUUGACCAGGUAAAGAUGAUUGUCCGCUGUUAAUUUAUUUUCUGGCCCUCCAAGAGAUAUGUAAGUAAUGUAUUUGUAAUAUGAAAUAUAAUUGCAUUUAUUCCUGUUAUCAAUCAAGAUGAGACUGAACAUGGACAAGGCACAGGAGAAACAGAAGGAGAGCUACCAGUGCAGAAUCAAGAUGGGGACCAAGUGCUAUGACAUACAGGUGAAUAACUUGGUUUGGAAGAAGGACGAAAGGAAGGCGAGACCUUUUUCGCUCCUAGCUGGGGUCACCAUCUGUUAAAGUGACCAUAAAAAAAUCUCAUAAAUAUUUGCACGCAAAAUAACCUGAAGCUAGUUUUAGUUUCCAUAACACUGAUAUUUUUGUCUUCCUAGGGUUACCUCGGUGGAAGCCAACCAUCUUCUACAGUUGGAGCAGCUGGACAGUCGACCACUGAAAGCACUGACGCCCUACACUUCAGUGAAGCCCAAUAGACAAAGUAUGUUAAGCUUUGGUUGACGUUUGAGAAAGCAAGAAAUGGUAGUUAUGCUGAGCUUAUAAAAAUGUACCUCUUCAAUUUACCUCCACAUGACUUUAGGAUCAUAGACUGUCUGAGCCCCCCAGGAGGUGUCCCAUCCACCCGAACCAGUGAGUUCAGAUCAGUCUGAUUCUUUGUGCUCUGAGUCGGAGGGGGACCAGCUUGAGGUAAGCUAUACCUUCCAAAAGUGUUAAAGUACAUAUCUCCCAUUUAUAACACUGCACUAAUCAUCACAUUUUCUCACAGUACAGUGUAACCUGUGUGUUUCUCGGUCUUCUACCCUGUUCCCUUUUAAUUCUGCUCCUGUUCUCCAGGAGCUAGGGGGUUCUGCCUAACACCCAGAUGUGGAUCCACCUGAUGUCCUCCAUUACAACCACCCUUCAAAUGCUCAUUACAUCAGCUACUGUUGUCAUUAUCUAUUAAGUUUUCUUGCUCUAUCAUAAUGUGAGACCCAGAUAAACCAAAAAAGAUUAAAUUGAUUUGCAUAUGAAUGGAGUGGAAAUUAGCUGACUUCGUAGUCUGUAAAGUAAAUAACUUUAAUGUGUCAAGCAGAUUACACUUUCUUUGCCAGUUCUGUAACGUAGCGAUGUUUAAGACAUGGAUAUCAUGUUGUAAUGUUAACAAGGUACCCAAAAGUAGUUUGAAUUCAUAUUUUAUUAGUUAAGCAACUUGUUCAAACAGUAAAAUUGUGGCGGAAAUCUGCCUUGUUUGCAUAGCGAUGAUGAAAAUCUCAUUUAGGCUGUAAUCUCAAACUCUAAUCAUUAGGUCAUCACACCGUUGCUACAGCAACGGACGCUAAUAGUUUAUAGAAUCCCAUUGUGA